rnacentral:rRNA from 1 species
UGGGGAAUAUUGCACAAUGGGCGAAAGCCUGAUGCAGCGACGCCGCGUGAGGGAUGACGGCCUUCGGGUUGUAAACCUCUUUCAGUAGGGACGAAGCGCAAGUGACGGUACCUGCAGAAGAAGCACCGGCUAACUACGUGCCAGCAGCCGCGGUAAUACGUAGGGUGCGAGCGUUGUCCGGAAUUACUGGGCGUAAAGAGCUCGUAGGCGGUUUGCCACGUCGUCUGUGAAAUCCUAGGGCUUAACCCUGGACGUGCAGGCGAUACGGGCUGACUUGAGUACUACAGGGGAGACUGGAAUUUCUGGUGUAGCGGUGGAAUGCACAGAUAUCAGGAAGAACACCGAUGGCGAAGGCAGGUCUCUGGGUAGUAACUGACGCUGAGGAGCGAAAGCAUGGGUAGCGAACAGG